rnacentral:rRNA from 1 species
GAUGAACGCUAGCGACAGGCCUAACACAUGCAAGUCGAGGGGCAGCACGAAAGUAGCUUGCUACUUUUGAUGGCGACCGGCGCACGGGUGCGUAACAGGUGUGCAAUCUGUCCAUAAUCGGGGAAUAGCCCAGCGAAAGUUGGAUUAAUGCUCCAUGUGAGUAAGAGAGGCAUCUCUUUUAUUUGAAACGUAAGGAUUAUGGGUGAGCACGCUUCUGGAUUAGGUAGUUGGUGAGGUAACGGCUCACCAAGCCGACGAUCAGUAGGGGUUCGGAGAGGAAGGUCCCCCACAUUGGAACUGAGACACGGUCCAAACUCCUACGGGAGGCAGCAGUGAGGAAUAUUGGUCAAUGGACGGAAGUCUGAACCAGCCAAGUCGCGUGAAGGAUGAAGGUUCUAUGGAUUGUAAACUUCUUUUGUCUGAGGGUAAAAAAGCGGACGUGUCCGUUCUUGCAAGUAUCAGACGAAUAAGCAUCGGCUAACUCCGUGCCAGCAGCCGCCGCAGUAA